UACGUAGGUGGCAAGCGUUGUCCGGAUUUAUUGGGCGUAAAGCGCGCGCAGGUGGUGCGGUAAGUCUGCCGUGAAAUCUCCCGGCUCAACUGGGAGGGGGCGGUGGAGACUGCCGGACUGGAGGGACCUAGAGGCCGGUGGAAUCCCGGUGGAGUGGUGAAAUGCGUAGAGAUCCGGAAGAACACCAGUGGCGAAGGCGGCCCGCUGGGCAGUGGCUGACGCUGAGGCG
rnacentral:rRNA from 1 species